UACAGAGGGGGCAAGCGUUGUUCGGAAUUACUGGGCGUAAAGGGCGCGUAGGCGGCCUGCUAAGUCGAACGUGAAAUCCCUGGGCUCAACCCAGGAACUGCGUCCGAUACUGGAAGGCUUGAAUCCGGGAGAGGGAUGCGGAAUUCCAGGUGUAGCGGUGAAAUGCGUAGAGAUGUGGAGGAACACCGAUGGCGAAGGCAGCCCCCUGGGUCGAAGAUUGACGCUCAUGCACGAA
rnacentral:rRNA from 1 species